UACGUAGGGUGCGAGCGUUAAUCGGAAUUACUGGGCGUAAAGCGUGCGCAGGCGGUUCGUUGUGUCGGCGGUGAAAUCCCCGGGCUCAACCUGGGAAUGGCCGUUGAAACUGGCGAACUGGAGUGUGGCAGAGGGGGGUGGAAUUCCGCGUGUAGCAGUGAAAUGCGUAGAGAUGUGGAGGAACACCGAUGGCGAAGGCAGCCCCCUGGGCCGAUACUGACGCUCAGGCACGAAAGCGUGGGGAGCAAACAGG
rnacentral:rRNA from 1 species